GACGAACGCUGGCGGCGUGCUUAACACAUGCAAGUCGAACGGAAAGGCCCUGCUUUUGUGGGGUGCGCGAGUGGCGAACGGGUGAGUAACACGUGAGUAACCUGCCCUGGACUUGGGGAUAACUUCAGGAAACUGGGGCUAAUACCGGAUAGGAGCUCCUGCUGCAUGGUGGGGGUGGGAAAGGUUCGGCGGUUGGGGAUGGACUCGCGGCUGAUCAGCUUGUUAGUGGGGGAGUGGCUUACCAAGGCUUGGACGGGUAGCCGGCCUGGGAGGGUGACCGGCCACCUUGGUCCUGCGAUACGGCCCAGACUCCUACGGGAGGCAGCAGUGGGGAAUAUUGCACAAUGGGCCGAAGCCUAAUGCAGCAACGCCGCGUGCGGGAUGACGGCCUUCGGGUUGUAAACCGCUUUCGCCUGUGACGAAGCGUGAGUGACGGUACUGGGUAAAGAAGCACCGGCUAACUCCGUG
rnacentral:rRNA from 1 species